rnacentral:lncRNA from 1 species
UUGGGGAUUUUAUUUCAGAUCUGAAAAUUCAAAAAUCUAAUCUUUUAAUUUUCUGUUUCGUUUCAAAUCUAAUUGUUUAGGGUUUUCGUAGGAGUUUCUCGUGACUUGGCAACUCGAUCUUGGUCCGCGUGCAUUUCACUAUCAUUUGGUAUCAGAAUGGUACGAGUCACAAAAGCCCAAAUUCUUGAAGGCGAGGCCCAAUAAGCAAAUUCCCAGCCCAAUCAAGAAAUCCAUCCAUACUUAGUUGAAAAUCAGGCCAAAUUGUCAAAGUGGCCCAAGUUGUAAAGUUUUAUUUUUAUUUUUAUUUAUUUAUUUAUUUAUUUACUUAGUUUAAAUUUUUAUGUCAAUAUUCAGUCCAAGAGUCCCAGAUAAAAUGACAUUUGACCGAAUUUCCAUAUUAAAAUAAUUAGGAGUUUUUUUUAUUUUAGUUUUCUAAUUAGAUUAGGACUAGUUAUAAGGCCUAUUUAAAGGCAUGGCUGUCCACCUUGUUAAACACUUAUCAUUAUUAUUAAAAUUUCAGAUUUGUUG